GACCAGGUUGGCCUGCGCCGUGCCGCUCCGUCCGCCGUGGGCGCGCGGGAACGACGGGGUCUAAGAGGCAGCCGGACGUCUGACGGAAAGUUGAGGUAGAACGACCCGCAGGUAACGAAACCUCUUCUGUUCCUCACGCCUCUCGCCUUCUCCCUGUUCAAAACAAAAACCAACGUGGGCAGUUACCGUCCCGGAGUUCAAAUUAGAGGGAAAAAUGAAGUCUGGGCAUUGUCAAACAGGGACGGUGGGAAAUCUCACAGCGCCAAAGACGUGACACACAGAGGAGCCAUUAUGGUCUUGCAGUUAUAAAGGUCGCAGUAAUGAAUAAACUCGGGGAUACUGGAGAAAGCAGGGGUUUCUACAAAACGCAAGGAAGAUGAAAUUAAAAAUACACGUUAUCAGGAUUGAUACGUUGUGGUGGAAAGAACAUGGGCUUUGAGGUCAGAAAUAGCAAUCUUCAAAUCCAAGGUCUGCCACUGCGGAGCUCCGAGACCUUGGGUGGAUUAUUGUCCUCGAGGAUCACAGUUUCCAAAGCACUUACACGCUGAUAAGAUGUUCCAGUCUCCAGGGCCGUUCUGAGGGUUACAGAAAAAACGCACAAUGGCAUACAUAGUGCGUCACGAACGUUAAUGUGAUAACUCCUUGGGCCCCCUCCCUAAAGCCAUCUUUAAAGACGCUACAGAUCAUAGUCAAGUGGAUUUUGCAGAUGUGCCGAACGCAAUAAAAGAUACUUCAAAGAAUAUUCAGAACAAGAAAGCACAGACCUGAGUAAAGUUUCUCGAAACAAGAAUAUCUUGCAUUUUAGCUGAGCAUGUGUCUUACUCUCACCAGAGACCACAUUUCCCAGUUGCUUGUGCAGCAACCAGGGUGAUCACGUGGGAGGCAAACACAGAAGCUAAAUAUCAGAGAUGAUAGACGGUCAGAACCGGUCUACCCUCGUGGGCUCCCGUGUGACUGCGUGUGGCCGACUUACUUCCCGGCCUUGAUGCUGCAGCCUUGCUCUGCAAGCCCAGCCCGCUUCUGAAAUGCUUCACGAGAGAAGUUGACAUGGAUGCUCCUGAAGAGAGAGAGAGAGAGCAGGUGCAGAGGGAGAAGCAG